rnacentral:rRNA from 1 species
ACUCCUACGGGAGGCAGCAGUGGGGAAUAUUGCACAAUGGGCGCAAGCCUGAUGCAGCCAUGCCGCGUGUGUGAAGAAGGCCUUCGGGUUGUAAAGCACUUUCAGUUGUGAGGAAAGGUUAGUCGCUAAUAUCGGGCUAGCUGUGACGUUUAAGCAACAGAAGAAGCACCGGCUAACUCCGUGCCAGCAGCCGCGGUAAUACGGAGGGUGCGAGCGUUAAUCGGAAUUACUGGGCGUAAAGCGCGUGUAGGUGGCUUGUUAAGCCAGAUGUGAAAGCCCCGGGCUCAACCUGGGAACUGCAUUUGGAACUGGCAGGUC